UACGUAGGGUGCGAGCGUUGUCCGGAAUUAUUGGGCGUAAAGAGCUCGUAGGCGGUUUGUUGCGUCGGCUGUGAAAACUUCACGCUUAACGUGGAGCCUGCAGUCGAUACGGGCAGACUUGAGUUCGGCAGGGGAGACUGGAUUCCUGGUGUAGCGGUGAAAUGCGCAGAUAUCAGGAGGAACACCGGUGGCGAAGGCGGGUCUCUGGGCCGAUACUGGCGCUGAGGAGCGAAAGCGUGGGGAGCGAACAGG
rnacentral:rRNA from 1 species